UACGUAGGGGCCGAGCGUUGUCCGGAGUUAUUGGGCGUAAAGCGCGCGCAGGCGGCCUCGCGCGCCCGACGUGAAAGCCCCCGGCUUAACCGGGGAGGGUCGUUGGGGACGGCGGGGCUUGAGGGCGGGAGAGGUCGGUGGAAUUCCCGGUGUAGUGGUGAAACGCGUAGAGAUCGGGAGGAACACCUGUGGCGAAGGCGGCCGACUGGGCCGACCCUGACGCUGAGGCGCGAAGGCGUGGGGAGCGAACGGG
rnacentral:rRNA from 1 species